GAGCUAUGAUGAAACUGUGUUCUCUGUGAUGGUUGUGUCUAUCACACUCUUCUGAUCUUUCAGACGAAUCGUGACACAUCAGAGCUC